UUGAAGCACUGGCAUGCAUUCCAAAUCCUCUUCUGAAUAAGCAGGGAUGAACCAGUAUCUCUUAUCCGUCCCAAACACCUGACAUAGAAAACAACACUUCACCACCAUGAUCGGCAUUUUACUUUGCAUGCGUAGUUUGACAUACAGUGCCGGCAGCUUGGGAAAUGUCAAUGUCCAUGUCCGCCCAAUUGCUAUGAGCAGAUGAUAAUUUUCUAAGUGAAAUGUGACUUCAACAAAAUAAGAAUAUGGGUUGGGAUGAAUGUCAACAAUUAUGGGGACAUGAACAAGCAUGACUUUGUGGUUGAGUAAAACUGAAACACACAACUGAUUUCAUCCAAACCUCAAUUUAUAGUUUUAUCUAUGAAUCAAUUAUGCUGGGGAACGGAAGUGAUUAUGGAAAUGUGUAAUGGGAACAGUGUAGACUACAUUACAAUCCAAACCUCAAUUUCAAGGAACAGUGUGGCCCUUGUGUUCAUGGAAGAGGUCUGUUCAAUUGUGUAAAUGUGUAAUAGGUCUGCAAUUACUUCGUGGAAA